AUUGAACGCUGGCGGCAGGCCUAACACAUGCAAGUCGAGCGGAUGAGGGAAGCUUGCUUCCCGAUUUAGCGGCGGACGGGUGAGUAAUGCCUAGGAAUCUGCCUAUUAGUGGGGGAUAACGUUCCGAAAGGAACGCUAAUACCGCAUACGUCCUACGGGAGAAAGUGGGGGAUCGUCGGCCCUCACGCUAAUAGAUGAGCCUAGGUGGGAUUAGCUAGUUGGUGAGGUAACGGCUCACCAAGGCGACGAUCCGUAGCUGGUCUGAGAGGAUGAUCAGCCACACUGGAACUGAGACACGGUCCAGACUCCUACGGGAGGCAGCAGUGGGGAAUAUUGGACAAUGGGCGAAAGCCUGAUCCAGCCAUGCCGCGUGUGUGAAGAAGGUCUUCGGAUUGUAAAGCACUUUAAGUUGGGAGGAAGGGUUGUAAGCUAAUAUCUUGCAGCUUUGACGUUACCAACAGAAUAAGCACCGGCUAACUCUGUGCCAGCAGCCGCCGUAAUAC
rnacentral:rRNA from 1 species